GUCUUUGUCUCUCGCUCCCGCCAGAGCUUGGGAUCGGUCUUCACUGUUCCGCGUCCUCUACCUGGGAACCACCGACCCCCGCCCGGCGACUUUGUCACAGACUCUGUUGCCCUGUGAUCUGCAGGUCCUGGGAGACGCACAGCCAAGAUGCCAGGGCACCCUGGAAGCUGUGAAGUGGUUAUGUGAAUCCUCUUCUUCCCAGAUCCUGCCAAAAGGAAAGAUUGUGACAUAUCACUGGAACCAGCACUUAGGCUAUUGUGACAUAUGCCUGAGGCUAACACCCAGAUGAUAUAAGUCUUCAUCCUGGACCCUGUCUACAGAAGUCAUUGCGAUAUAUGUCUUCACCAAUCACUGAGGUCGAACGCCCAGUGAUGUGACUCUCCUUCCUGGUCCAUGCCCUCAGGGAAGAUUGUGACAUACCCCGGCCCAGCACACAGUUAAUGUCACUCUUGUGCUUGCUGUCUACCCAUGGGUAGGAUUGUGACAUAUAUCGUGGCCAAGCACAAAGAUGUAAUGACUGUCAUACCUCGAAGAAAGCAAUAGAGUUAAUGUUGCUCCUAGGU
ensembl:lncRNA novel transcript